AUGUCUUGUGUUGAGAUCAUUGAUCUUACAAACUCUCAUGAUUCCUCUCCAUCACCACAUAUAUCUUCGUCUAAUUUCUCACUGCCACAAGGAUUCAUGGUCCCACCACCGUCGAGAUUCAACAAUAACACCUUUGAGAUCGCUACUAUGCUCCAACUUGGUAUGCACGGUGGAAGCCUAGCUGCAAGGGUUAUCCAACCAUUACCUGGAUCAAAUACCUUAUCAUAUUCAAAUGGAUCUAGGUCGAGGGUCCCUUGGUCUCAACAAGAAUAUGACUUAUUUGUGAUGUGA